UAUUUCUCUUAAGGAUCAUUUAAAGUAGCUUUCCCUUUUUUCUUUAAAUCUCCAUGAUUUUCCUUAACAAUUCCUCCUCCGUUGAACUCUCCUCCAGGCCUGCUAAUGAUUGAAAUCGUGAUCCCAUAAUUUUCUCCUAUUUAGAAUUAUUUCCUUUUUUUUAUCCCAUCCAAGGUGUCGCGCCUGCUCCUCUGCUCCACCAGCAUCUAGCAUCUAGGGACCAUAAUCCCCAUCUCCGGCCACCACAGAAGUUGUAGAGGUUUGUUCCGACGUCUGCCCCUUCUCUUUCGCCUCUAAGGAAUGUGUGACAGACGAACAAUUCUCCUUGAUGUGUCCAUAACAAUCACCCUUAAAGCAUACCACAGAGUCGUGAUUCCAAGGUUCCGUCCCAACAUCUUGAGAACCACAGAGGUUGACAUUUCCUUUUCCAAGAGCUGAUAUACUCUCUCCGAGAAGUCGAUUGAGGGAACAUCAUCAACAAACGAUUUCUUGACUUCCUGCUCUGUGAGGGAGAAAUUAUCAACAAAGAAGUGGCCAUCUUGUAUUGUUCUGCACAAAAGUAUCUUUCUCCACUAGCAUAUCUUUCCAUGACAAAGAAGGCGUUGAUGAUGACUCCACAACCAUCACAUCUUCAGGAAUCACGUCCGAUUCCUUGUGUUAGAAUCCUCAGGAAGAGAAUCACCUUCUCCAUUCUUGUCCACAGUAGAAAUCGAAGAAGAUGAGAGCAUAUUUUCUUUUUAUUUUCUAGUAAUUUUUAUCAUGAUAAUAAUGCAUAAAUUUUGAGAAAGUAAUAAAUGGCCAACAGCUGGGAUUAUCUAAAAACAAUAAAACACUUUCAAAUGAUUCACGUAUAUUUAUAAGAAAUUGAAGAAUGGGUUCAUUGUGAAUGACAAAUGACACCAUGAUUGUUUUUAAAAAUAUUAUCCAACUUUUGUCUACAAUGUAAGCAGAGUCUAAAAGGAAAUAAAGAGAAUGUUUGAUA